rnacentral:lncRNA from 1 species
AGUAACGAUGACAAAUUUUUAAGUUUUAUUUCCUCUCCCAAUAGCUGGCUUUUACAGCCUGAUUCUUCGUUACCCUUUCCCUAUGUGAAAAUACUGGAAUUGCCCGCUCCCUCUUACCUCUCCCCUAACUUACCCACAGGGUGUCUCCAGCCAAAAGCCUGGAGAGGAAGAGUUAUGCAUUUCUCCUUCAAGAACCCCGAAGCCAGUCUGCAUUCCUGCAUUAAAGAAGCCAGUGUUUCCCAUCCAGUAAUUCAGGGAGCUUCAUCAUUUUUUUUCCUUCUUUCUUUUUUACCAUGUGGAGGAAAACCAUUGUAAAAACUUAUCUUGGUUGUGAAAAUACUCUUGAUUUUACUAGAGUCAUAGAGUUUUAAAGUCCUGCUCAAAGGCAGCAGAGGGAUGUAUAGUAUAGUCUCUAUAGAAGAGGCAAUGAAUGCCAAGAGCCACUGAGAUAUUUUUUUCUACCACCAAAUUUAUUCAACAGUUACUUACUGAAUACCUACUGUGGGCUGGCACAUAACAUGUCAGAUUCUCUCAAUUGACUGAAACAUAAAUCUAGGUUUCAUUUAGCCAUUUAUUUCUAAUUCUCUCCUGUUGCUAAAGUUCCUGCUGAGUUCCCAGGCAAAACUUUGUGAAAUGGGAACUUUGAAAGGCACGAUGGUGCUCCAUGAAGUUAACCUUGCUAGCUGCUGUAGGCCUUCUGGUCUCUGUUCUUCCUUGCAGCCCUUCUGGCUAAGCUGGGGAGAGAUAGUCAGUUUUAGAAGCCAUGUUCAGAAAUGUGAGUUUAGCAAUUCUGUAAAUUAAGUCACCAAAUAUGUAAUGAGAGUACUGAGUGUCAGGGGAUUGAAAAGCAUUGAGAGGUAGGGCCCUAGGCUUAAUGGGCCUAGCCAGGUGCUUGAAUGGGAAAGAUGCAAACAUUCUGGUCAAUCUAGCCUUUUAUUUGGGGAGAUAGUGACUUCUUGUGACAUAGCACAAGAAGUAUCCAUGUUCUGUGCAAGAAGGAGACACAUUUUCAGUUGAGGUUCCAAGCAAUAAUAAUAAAAAACAAUCAAAAUGUAUGGAAUACUUACCAUGUGCUAACCAUAGUAUUCUAUAUACUGAUACAUACACACAUAUACAGUCGCAUCUAUCAGGGAUUAGUUUCAGAACCCUGAGGGAUACCAAAAUUCAUGGAUGUUCAAGUCCCUUAUGUAAAAUGGUGCACUAUGUGUAUAAAACCUACAUAUUAAUGUAUCUUCUAUGCUUUAAAACAUCUCUAUAUUACUUAUGAUACCUAAUACAAUGUAAAUGCUAUGAAAAUAGUUGUUGGACUGUAUUAUUUUUAUUGUUGUAUUGUUAUUUUUUUUUCUUCUUUCCUUGAAUGUUUCCAGUGUAUAGUUGGUUGAGUCCCAUAAUGUAGACCCUGCGAAUACAGAGGACUGACUGGGUAUGUUUGUUUAUAUAGUGCUAUAUACAGUUUAUUUCUUUUCCAUCUAUAUCAACCUUAUGAGGUAUUCUUCCACUCAACAAGUAUUUGGGGAGCUGGGCCAAUGCUAGAGGACAGGAAGGUAAUGAUGCAAUAAAUCAGUCUCUGCUCUGUUGGAAUAUACACCAGAGUGAAGAAGAAAUACAUUCAUCAAUGAAUCACCCUACAACUCCAAUAGUUACUUACUGUAUUACUUACUAUACAAAUGUUCUGAAAAAAGGAACAUUUUCAAAGAAAUUUUAAAACAAAAAACGAUUUAGACUGGGUACAAUUACUGGGUGAGGUGGUUCAGGGGAGUGAUAUUUAAACUGAGGGCAUGUUAUUUUGUUUGCCGUUGGCUUUCUAUAGAAAAUUUAGACUUAGAAAUCUGACUUCAAAGCUGAUGGUUUACAAAAGAUAUUCUUCCUACAAAUGGGCUUUAAAGUCUUUGCCAGCCACAUAGCACAGAGACAACACAGCUGCCAGAGUUAGAAUUCUAAUCCCCACAUGAGGCAUGCAGACACUCUACGCUCAGGAUAGAAGGACUGAAUUCAGGCCCUAAAAGGUCAUUUCUGGAUUAAACAGCACUAACCCUAAGAAAGACUAAGAACUACUAACAAUUAGUAAUAAGAGCCGAGAAACAAGAAUGGCCAUGCCACAGUAGACCAAAUGAGAUGUGACUCAAAGAGGAAAAUCAAAGUCAGCUGAGUGCCCUACCCACAGUAGGUAGGACUUAUUUCACAUCCCUGAGGAAGACACGGGGAAUGACAUCAGAGUCUAUUGAACACCCUAAGCUUUAUAGUUUAUAUACUGGUAUUAUAAGUACAUAUGCUUUGCAUUUCUCAUUAUAGGUUUGGGUUUCAUGCGCUGUAAGCAACAGUUUUAGUGUUCUCAUGAAGUGUCCAGUUAAAGACCCUCUGUAACUUACUAGAUCUUUCCUGAUUUUAGAAUCAGCAUUUUAGUAUUCAGGCAUCAGCUGCCCUUAGGCUUAUUUCAGCUUGAAUAUGCUUAUAUUACACAUAAACUGUAGUUGUGGAAUGGUUAUAUAAAAAUUUAAGCUGUUAUUUGAUUCAGAAAAAAAAGGAAAGAAAAAUAGAAUUGCCUAGAAAUGAAAUCUGUAUGGACUGAGUAUUCAAGUAAGGGUUAAUCAGGAGGUGAGGUGAAGCUAUGCCUUAAAGUAUGAUAAAAAUUUAGGAAGGAGGAGAGAAAGUUAAAGGAAGGAUAUUUCAAAUUAAAGAAAAGAGAAAGCCAGUUUGCUGAACACAUGUUUGGAUUGGAAGAUUAUGGGAAACAAUGUUAGGAAAUUCAGGUGACACCAGAUAUGAGGGACUUUGAAAAAGUAUGAAGAGCUGGAACUUGAUUCUGAGGUCAUUAGGAGGAAUGAAAUCCUUUGAGUAGAACAUAACAUGACAAACUAUUUUAGUGAGGUGAUUUCUGGGAUGGAUUUAUAGGGAUAGAAGUUACAAAUGAGCUGCUUCAGUCCAUCAAAAUUUGAAGAGUUGUAACUUUACUCUGAGAGUACUGAACCUGUUGACUUCUUAUUGGGUUUUUUUUUUUCUUGAUUAGAGUAAGACAUGAUGAAAAAUAUAGGAAAAGAAUUCCCAGGACAUUUUCAGGGAGAGACUUGAGGGAGUAAAGACUAGAAUCACACAAUUGCCACGGUGUGUAAAAACUGUACAGCAAAAUAUUCCUUAGGUUAAAAAACUAUGCUUUGGUUUUGUUACCUGAUGGGAGAAGAGCAUUUAUUAAAAACUUAGAUUUAAUCAACUAAGAGGGGGGCAAAAGGGACAAAAGAAUAAGGGACCCAAGAUAGGACCUUGUUUAAUUGGAUAAUAGAAAAGAAUGAGUAGGUUAAAUUGGGAGAAUGGCCGUUAACAAAAAGGGAUGGUAUGAAUAAGGCACAACAGGGUGCCCGGGGUUCCUCAAGGGACAGACCAAGGGUACUGGAUGCCCAGAGGUUGGAGGGUGGAGUGACGGAUUGGGUAUGGGGAGCCUGUCAGUCAACAUAAAAGCUAAGAAAAUCACAAGCAAGCAGUAAAGUGGGUAGCUAAACAGUAUUUCUUUGAAACAUCGAUGUUAAAUCUCACCGUUAAAAUGACAUUUCCCACAGCCUCCCAAUAUGCAUGGACUGAAUAGCUUAUGAAUUUCAUAUACCUAAAAAAAUAUUUGAAGGUAUGCCUAGUAGGACAGCAUGCCUGCCACACCAUUCCCAUUUCUUCUGUAGGUACUUAUUUUCAGCUAAACAUAUACUCAAAUUUCAAAAAGAUACAGCUAAGUGUAGGUUUAAAAAUAGUGAAAACAGCCAAUCCAGAGAUUUACAGACUAUUAAAAAGAUUUAAAACCCGAUUGCUGCUUGGUUGCAUUUAUAAGUACAUUAAAUACUCAAAAUGAAGGAAUGUCACUGUGUUUAAAUUAAUACACAAAUAGUCUAAAACAGAUGUUUACCCUAAUAUGAUCAUUUUGACAUGAGAUAUAAUAUGACAUGACAUAUAAUAAACUCCUUAUUAAGUAUUAUUAACUCUUUACUAGGCUAUGGAACUUAGGCUGCUUUGAGCCAUUAAGUUAUCACAAGCAACAUCCACUUUCUGAUCACGACCAAGUAGGAUGGCUAACUUGCUGGUUUAGUAAAUGUUAAGUUGAGUUUGCUUCCGAUAUGGUUUGGCUGUGUGCCCACCCAAAUCUCAUCUUGAAUUGUAGCUCCCAUAAUUCUCAUGUGUCAUGGGAGGGACCUGGUGGGAGAUAAUUGAAUCAUGGGGGAGGGUCUGUCCCGUGUUGUUCUCAUGACUGUGAAUAAGUCUCACAAGAUCUAAUGGUUUUAUAAAGGGGAGUUCUCCUGCACAUACUCUCUUUCCUGCUGUCAUGUAAGCCAUGACUUUGCUCCUCCUUGGCCUUCCACCAUGACUGUGAGGCCUCCCCAGCCAUGUGGAACUGUGAAUCAGUUAAACCUCUUUUAUUUAUAAAUUACACAGUCUCAGGUAUGUCUUUAUUAGUAGCAUGAGAACAGACUAAUAUAGUAAAUUGACACCAGAAAAGUUGGAUGCUGCUGUAAAGAUACCUGAAAAUGUGGAAGCAACUAUGGAACUGGGUAACAGGAAGAGGUUGGAACAGUUUGGAGGGCUCAGAAGAAGACAUGAAAAUGUGGAAAAGUUUGGAACUUCCUAGAGACUUGUUGAAUGGUUUUGACCAAAAAUGCUGAUAGUGAUAUAGACAAUGAAGUCCUCAUUGAGGUGGUCUCAGAUGGAGAUGAAAAACUUGUUGGGAAUGGAGUAAAGGUCACUCUUGCUAUGCAAAGACACUGGCAGCAUUUUGCCCCUACCCUAGAGAUUUGUGGAUCUUUGAACUUGAGAAAGAUGAUUUAGAGUAUCUGGGGGAAGAAAUUUCUAAGCCACAAAGCAUUCAAGAGGAAGUAGAGCAUUAAAGUUUGGAAAAUCUGCAGCCUAACUAUGCAAUAGAAAAGUAAAACCCAUUUUCUGGGGAGAAAUUCAAGUCUGCUGCAGAAAUUUGCACAAGUAACAAGGAGCAGAAUGUUAAUCACCAAGACAAUGGGGGAAAUGUCUCCAGGGCAUGUCAGAGACCUCUGUGGCAGACCCUUCCAUCACAGGCCUGGAGGCCUAGGAGGAAAAUAUGGUUUCCUGGGCUAGGCCCAGGGCCCCCCUUUCUGUGUGCAGCCUCAGGACAUGGUGCCCUGUGUUCCAGCUGUAUCAGCUCCAGCUGUGGCUAAAAGGGGCCAACAUACAGCUCAGGCUGUUCUACAGACAGUGCAAGCCCCAAGCUUUGGUGGCUUACACGUGGUGUUGGGCCUGUGGGUACACAGAAGUCAAGAAUUGAGCUUUGGGAACCUCCACCUAGAUUUCAGAGGAUGUAUGGAAAUGCCUCGAUGCUGCAGGCAUGGACCCCUCAGGGAGAACCUCUGCUAGGGCAAUGUGGAAGGGAAACGUGGGGUUGGAGCCCCCACACAGAGUCCCCACUGGGGCAUGGCCUAGUGAAUCUGUAAGAAGAGGACCACCGUCCUCCAGACCCCAGAAUGGUAGAUCCACUGAGAGCUUGCACCAUGUGCCUGGAAAAGCUGCAGACACUCGAUGCCAGCCUCUGAAAGCAGCCAGGAGUGGGACUGUACCCUGCAAAGCCACAGGGGUGGAGCUGCCCAAGGCCAUGGGAGCCCACCUCUUACAUCAACGUCCUCUGGAUGUGAGACACGGAGUCAAAUGAGAUCAUUUUGGAACUUUAAGAUGGAAUGACUGUCCUGUUGGAAUUUGGACUGGCAUGGGGCCUAUAGCCUCUUUGUUUUGGCCAAUUUCUUCCAUUUGGAACUGUUACAUUUACCCAAUGCCUGUACCCCUAUUGAAUGAAGUAACUAACUUGCUUUCGAUUUUACAGGCUCAUAGGCAGAAGGGACUUGCCUUGUCUCAGUUGAGACUUUGAACUGUGAACUUUUGAGUUAAUGCUGAAAUGAGUUAAGACUUUUGGGGGCUGUUGGGAGGCAUGAUUGCUUUUAAAAUGUGAGGACAUGAGAUUUGGGAGGGGCCAGGUUUGGAAUGAUAUGAUUUGGCUGUGUCCGCACCCAAAUCUCAUGUUAAAUUGUAGCACCCAUAAUUCCCAUGUUUCAUGGGAGGGACCCAGUGGGAGGUAAUUGAAUCAUGGGGGCAGCUCUUUCCUGUGCUGCUAUCUCAUGAUAGUAAAUAAGGCUCAUGAUCUCUGAUGGUUUUAUAAAGGGGAGUUCCUCUGAAUACACUCUCUUGCCUGCUGGCAUGUAAGACAUAACUUUGCUCCUUAUUCGCCUUCUGCCAUGAUUGUGAGGCCUCCCUAGCCACGUGAAACUGAGUCCAGUAAACCUCUUUCCUAUAUGAAUUACCCAGUCUCAGGUAUGUCUUUAUUAGCAGCAUGAGAAUAGACUAAUACAGCUUCCUUUUUUUGGAAAGUCUCUGUUGAUUAGUAACAGUAAUAAUUUGUCAAGAAAAGAUGAAUGAUGUGGGAGAAUUAAAGUUCCAAACAUGUAUAAAUGUAGCUACCCAAAAGCAGCAAGGUUUUUGACAUCAGAAACUCAGACAAUUUAAACUGUCAAAAAGAUCUUUCUUUCAUUCAACAAACAUCUUUACCCAAAAGCAGACUUUUAAACAAAAUUUUUAUGAUGAGAAAAUCCUAAAAUUUCUACAUUUUAAAAAUCCACUCC